GCAGUUUAACACACUGAUCAUAUCUCCAGUAAUUGGAAUCUGAAAUAAGCUGUUGUAAAAGGAUGCAUUCCAACUGCCAUCUGACAAUUCACAUGCUGGUUUGUCCCAGGCAUUACAAGCAAGGAUCUUGAGACACGGGGAUCUUGCACUAUAUUAAAAAGAUAAAGGGCCAAU
rnacentral:lncRNA from 1 species